rnacentral:rRNA from 1 species
UAAGACGUAGGGUGCAAGCGUUGUCCGGAUUUAUUGGGCGUAAAGAGCUCGUAGGCGGCUUGUCGCGUCGACCGUGAAAACUCAGGGCUCAACUUUGAGCUUGCGGUCGAUACGGGCAGGCUAGAGUGCGGUAGGGGAGACUGGAAUUCCUGGUGUAGCGGUGAAAUGCGCAGAUAUCAGGAGGAACACCGGUGGCGAAGGCGGGUCUCUGGGCCGUUACUGACGCUGAGGAGCGAAAGCGUGGGGAGCGAACAGGAUUAGAUACCCUGGUAGUCCACGCUGUAAACGUUGGGCGCUAGGUGUGGGGGCCUCUCCAGGCCUCUGUGCCGCAGCUAACGCAUUAAGCGCCCCGCCUGGGGAGUACGGCCGCAAGGCUA